GCAGUCGCCGCGGUAAUACGGAGGGUGCAAGCGUUAAUCGGAAUUACUGGGCGUAAAGCGCACGCAGGCGGUCUGACAAGUCAGAUGUGAAAUCCCCGGGCUUAACCUGGGAACUGCAUUUGAAACUGUCAGGCUGGAGUCUUGUAGAGGGGGGUGGAAUUCCAGGUGUAGCGGUGAAAUGCGUAGAGAUCUGGAGGAAUACCGGUGGCGAAGGCGGCCCCCUGGACAAAGACUGACGCUCAGGUGCGAAAGCGUGGGGAGCAAACAGGAUUAGAUACCCGAGUAGUCCCUGUCUCUUAUAC
rnacentral:rRNA from 1 species